CAAUUCUACAAGGAGCUGGACAGACACAUGCCUAGACUCAUCACUUUGUUCCGAGACAAGGCCAUCAAGACUGGCAAGAUUGCAGAGGAGCUAGCAAAGCUCAUGAGAAUUUAUGACAUUCAGGAACAGCGUGAUGUAAAUACAAGACGGGCCCUCGUCCUUCGUGCACUUCCUGUGUACCUGCGUGAAGAUGCCUCCACGUUAUUCAGGAAUUGUGAUGUAAAUGUACUGCCCUCAGCAUCAACCCCUUUGCCUAGCUGUUCAGUCGAAUAUAUCACUCAGAACUCAAGGAGAACCAGGGUGUAUAUCAGGAAGGAGGUUCAAAACUGUCCUCAUCUGACUUGUUUUCUCCCAUAUAUCAACUAUUGUUGAAUAAGAUUGCAAGAAGAUUGUUACGCAUAAACCAGAAAACAUGAAAAUAGUUGAAAGAUUAUUAAACAAAAAAAAAUCCACAGAUAAAAACUCUCUCCCUUUUAAAAUUCAAGUGUUCUAUUUUUUUGGAGGUGCCAUGUUGUGGUCAGAGAAAUGUUUGGUAAAUAACAAAAACAAAUAUCUUGACAUAUAUUUAUUAUUGAAAACAUUUAUUUAAGCAUAUGUUUUGAAACCAAACCCAAAUUAAGAUUAUUGUAAUGCAUCAUGAUGUAUCAAAUUAAAUCGUUGACAUUAUAAUCCUAAAAGAAACGUGCGACUUAUGAAGAUUCACACCUCUAAUCAAUAGCAUGAUUUGUGUCCUUGAGGGGCUGAACUCAUUGUUGUAUUAUUUGUGUUUUGCAGUCAGCAGAUGGUCCAGACCUCACUGUCACUCCUGUGGCUCUGCUGACAGUUGUCACGGAUGACACUACUGAUUCGGCCCUCUUCAGUCCCGAAAGCAUCUGCAUUGUCGUUGAGGAUGAAAUACUUGUGAAUGGUCCCACAAAUCUGGCUGACUCAUUUCUCCUGCUCUUUGGGUACAUCUAUGCACUAGACCUACAAUACCCAAAGAAACUUGAGCUUACAUUCACAUUUAUCCAGAAGGUUGUGAUGUGCCUUGAGGACAACAAACCACUGAAAGGGCGUCUACUGAUGCUGAA